GUGCCAGCCGCCGCGGUAAUACGUAGGUGGCAAGCGUUGUCCGGAAUUAUUGGGCGUAAAGGGCGCGUAGGUGGUUUUUUAAGUCUGAUGUGAAAUCCCACGGCUUAACCGUGGAGCUGCAUUGGAAACUGGAUGACUUGAGUGCAGAAGAGGAAAGCGGAAUUCCAAGUGUAGCGGUGAAAUGCGUAGAGAUUAGGAGGAAGACCAGUGGCGAAGGCGACUUUCUGGUCUGCAACUGACGCUGCGGCGCGAAAGCAUGGGGAGCAAACAGGAUUA
rnacentral:rRNA from 1 species